rnacentral:lncRNA from 1 species
CAGGAGUUGAUAUUAGGUACUAGGACAUUAGUUCAGAUGAAUUCAUUUUUAUUUCUACAGUGUUAAAAGUGCACUUAUAUGCUGGUUUAUUUCCAUCUUGGGAAAAAAAGACUGCAAAUUGAAGGGAAGAUUGUUACUUUUUCUUUUAAAAAAAAAAAAAGGUUAAGGCAGAUUUUAAGACUUAUAAAUGUUUAAGAAAUUAUAAACAAGGUUAGACCCUUUGAAAAAAGUUUAGAAGAUAUUCUUAAAGUAAAUUUUUAUAGUGUUAAUUUUGUAAUAAUUUAUGUUUUACUAUAUUACAGAGCUAACUGACCAGAAUAGUUUCAGAAACAAUAUGAAACUUAGGAAAGUUGAAGCAAUGUUUAUAUUUUUAAAAUGUUCUUUGAAUUAUGUUUUUAUUGUACAUUUCUUCAGACUGAAAAGUAUGUACAUAUCUUUGUUAUUUUUGCACAAUUUUCGUCUCGUUCAGUUUUAGAAGUCUGUUG